ACAUAAACCUCUGGCUUCUAAGAAUGCAGAUGAUGCUGGUUCCAUCUUGAGUCCUGUCCUGUUCUGUCUACCAUCCCCGGAACCCAAAUGUAACAAUAAUGCAAGCUAAGCAGGGAUAGAAUUGACUGUUAGAGGCCCGACUGCAAUCUCAUUGAGCCUAUGCCCCAGAUAUCUUUUCCUUAACAAAAAGCAAAAUUUUGCUGCCAAGACAUUGAAUUCACAAGUGGUGAUUCAAUCCCUGCAUUAAGAGAUGGGGUGCCACACUUCUGACCCUGAAACAUAGGAGACCAGCAGAACAUCAGAACAACAAACUGUCUGAUUUACAGAUGUUACCCAAGGUCAUAAGAACAAUACUUCAGAAAACAUUCAGCACUCCUUGCUCCAGGCCGUCAAUGUUUCUGGCACGGCCUGCUCCUGCCCCUUUCUGCAAGCUGUAUCUUGCUCUUCCUCCAAGGAGCUCCAGGUGGCAUGCAGCAGUUGCUGAGUCUCAAGUUAUAAAACCAACCCUAUCUCUCAAGUACCAUUAAAAGCUCAUUCUUCUAGCUA